AUUGAACGCUGGCGGCAGGCCUAACACAUGCAAGUCGAGCGGAUGAAGGGAGCUUGCUCCUGGAUUCAGCGGCGGACGGGUGAGUAAUGCCUAUGAAUCUGCCUGGUAGUGGGGGAUAACGUCCGGAAACGGGCGCUAAUACCGCAUACGUCCUGAGGGAGAAAGUGGGGGGUCUUCGGACCUCACGCUCUCAGAUGAGCCUAGGUCGGAUUAGCUAGUUGGUUGGGUAAGGGCCUACCAAGGCGACGAUCCGUAACUGGUCUGAUAGGAUGAUCAGUCACACUGGAACUGAGACACGGUCCAGACUCCUACGGGAGGCAGCAGUGGGGAAUAUUGGACAAUGGGCGAAAGCCUGAUCCAGCCAUGCCGCGUGUGUGAAGAAGGUCUUCGGAGUGUAAAGCACUUUAAGUUGGGAGGAAGGGCAGUAAGUUAAUACCUUGCUGUUUUGACGUUACCAACAGAAUAAGCACCGGCUAACUUCGUG
rnacentral:rRNA from 1 species